rnacentral:rRNA from 1 species
UACAGAGGUCUCAAGCGUUGUUCGGAAUCACUGGGCGUAAAGCGUGCGUAGGCUGUUUCGUAAGUCGUGUGUGAAAGGCGCGGGCUCAACCCGCGGACGGCACAUGAUACUGCGAGACUAGAGUAAUGGAGGGGGAACCGGAAUUCUCGGUGUAGCAGUGAAAUGCGUAGAUAUCGAGAGGAACACUCGUGGCGAAGGCGGGUUCCUGGACAUUAACUGACGCUGAGGCACGAAGGCCUGGGGAGCGAAAGGG